CAGUCGCCACGGGAAUACGGAGGGUGCAAGCGUUAUCCGGAUUUAUUGGGUUUAAAGGGUCCGUAGGCGGAUCUGUAAGUCAGUGGUGAAAUCUCACAGCUUAACUGUGAAACUGCCAUUGAUACUGCAGGUCUUGAGUAAAUUUGAAGUGGCUGGAAUAAGUAGUGUAGCGGUGAAAUGCAUAGAUAUUACUUAGAACACCAAUUGCGAAGGCAGGUCACUAAGAUUUAACUGACGCUGAUGGACGAAAGCGUGGGGAGCGAACAGGAUUAGAUACCCGAGUAGUCCCUGUCUCUUAUAA
rnacentral:rRNA from 1 species